rnacentral:rRNA from 1 species
UUUUUUAUAUAUUUAUAUAUAUAUAUAUAUAUAUAUAUAAUUUUUUUUUAAUUGGGGUAGCCCCCAAAAUAUUGGGACAUAUAAAAAAAGACAACUCUGUUCCGCAGAGUAGCUGUUGACAUUAUAGUUGCACAGGCACUUUGUUGACGCUAGAGAACCUCGGGCCAAUCGCACAUCCCCGUGAUGGUGACUUUGCAUUCGAUGUCAUCCAUAUCAGGUUUCUGCACCUACCAUGGUGACCAUGGGUAACGGGGAAUCAGGGUUCCAUUCUGUACAGGGACCCUGAGAAACAGCUACCACAUGUAAAGAAGACAGCAGGCAAGCAAAUGACCAACUCCAGACGCGGGAAGGUAGUGACGACAAAUAACAAUACAGGACUCUUUAGAGGCCCUGUAAUUGUAAUGAGUACACUUGAAAUCCUUUAACUCUGACCAAUUGGAGGGAAGUCUGGUGCAGAGCCACUGACCCGUGCGUGCUGCAGCUGAAACUCCACU